rnacentral:rRNA from 1 species
CCUACGGGAGGCAGCAGUGGGGAAUAUUGCGCAAUGGGCGAAAGCCUGACGCAGCGACGCCGCGUGGGGGAUGACGGCCUUCGGGUUGUAAACCUCUUUCAGCAGGGACGAAGUUGACGUGUACCUGUAGAAGAAGCGCCGGCUAACUACGUGCCAGCAGCCGCGGUAAU